rnacentral:tRNA from 1 species
UAGCUCAGUAAUAGAGCACUUGCCUUGCAUGCAUGAGGCCCUGGGUUCCUUCCCCAG